rnacentral:rRNA from 1 species
UACGAAGGGGGCUAGCGUUGUUCGGAAUCACUGGGCGUAAAGGGCGCGUAGGCGGCUUUAUAAGUCGGGGGUGAAAGCCUGUGGCUCAACCACAGAAUUGCCUUCGAUACUGUAGAGCUUGAGACCGGAAGAGGUAAGUGGAACUGCGAGUGUAGAGGUGAAAUUCGUAGAUAUUCGCAAGAACACCAGUGGCGAAGGCGGCUUACUGGUCCGGUUCU